rnacentral:rRNA from 1 species
CUAACAAGGAUUCCCCUAGUAACGGCGAGUGAAGAGGGAUGAGCUCAAAUUUGUAAUCUGGCGUGUCGCAAGGCCGUCCGAGUUGUAGUCUAGAGAAGCGUUUUCCGUGCCGGACCGCGUACAAGUCCCCUGGAACGGGACAUCGUAGAGGGUGAGAAUCCCGUGUCGCGACGCGGACCGCCGGCACUCUGUGAUGCGCUCUCGAAGAGUCGAGUUGUUUGGGAAUGCAGCUCAAAGUGGGUGGUAAACUCCAUCUAAAGCUAAAUACGGGCGAAAGACCGAUAGCGAACAAGUACCGUGAGGGAAAGAUGAAAAGCACUUUGGAAAGAGAGUUAAAACAGUACGUGAAAUUGUUGAAAGGGAAACGCUUGGACUCAUGUCACGUCCACUGUGAAUUCAGCCUUUGUCUCGACGGAGGUGCACUUUCCAGUGGACGGGUCAGCAUCGAUUUCGAAAGUCAGACGGGGUCCCAUGGGAACGUGACACCCCUUCACGGGGGUGUGUUAUCAGCCCGGGGACUCGGUGACGGUUGGGAUCGAGGAACGCAGCGCGCCGUAAUGGCCGGGGGUAAAUAACCCACGUAACGCGCUUAGGAUGCUGGCGCAACGGCUUCAA